CUUAAAAGUAAUUAAUUGAUAGCAUUGACAUUCACCAUUUCGUUUCAGGUUUUCCAGUGUGGGCUAGGGAAGCUCUCUAGAAGUUCUUUGGAGGUUUGCAUCCCACUCUCUUUGCUGUGUGAUUCAAGAGGAAUUCACUGACCUCCAAAUAAACACCAUUUUAGGAUGAGAAGCUUCUGAGAUUUGGGAAUCUACAGACAAUUUGGAAGCUUGUCAGGAUUAUUCUGCAAAGUCAACCAAAAGAGGAGGGCUGGAGUUCACAGAUUAUUAGCACCGAAUGUUGGAUUCAGAGGUUAUUAGCCACGUAUGGCAAAUGGAGUUCCUUUUCUGCCAGAGGGAAUACAGGUUCCAUUUCCCACAAGAAGCUGUUGUGCCAAGUUCACUGGUUUCUAGCAGCUGCUGGGGAUGGACUGGCUCCACUUUCCCUGGAAUACCUACCCAUUGCUGAGAUAGCUGACCAGGAUCAAGUGAGGAAACUGUUCCAAGGAGAUUGUGAUUGUCUAGUUUCAUAUUGAUGAUGUAUCAAAGUCAGGAUUGGAUCCUCUGUUCUCUGGUCUAAGAGCUUUUGUUCAUUCCACCAUUUUAGUGAUGAUAAGAUACAUGGAUGAAUAAUUCC
rnacentral:lncRNA from 1 species